CACGAUAAAUUUCACUUUACUAUAAAAUUUAUAUACCGCCAUCUUAAGAAUUAUAAUAAAUUAUUUUCCAAAAAACAAAUAAAAAGUUAGGUCAAGGUGUAAUCAACAUUAAAGAUAAGAUGAAUUACAUUAAAAAUUAUUUAAAGUUUAUAAAUUAUAUAUUUAUAUAAAUAAGAAUUUAAUAGUAAUAUUUUAACAAUAAUAUAAUAUGACAAAGAUUAUAAAUGUGCACACAUCGCCC
rnacentral:rRNA from 1 species